GAUGAACGCUAGCUACAGGCUUAACACAUGCAAGUCGAGGGGUAACGAGAGGAAAGCUUGCUUUCCUUGUCGACGACCGGCGCGCGGGUGAGUAACGCGUAUCCAACCUGCCCCCACCUAGGAACUAACCUUGCGAAAGUAAGACUAAUACCCUAUAAUUUCCUCAGAGGUCAUCUGACGGGGUAUAACGAUUUACCGGUUGUGGCUGGGGAUGCGUCUGAUUGGCUUGUUGGCGGGGUAGCGGCCCACCAAGGCAACGAUCAGUAGGGGUUCGGAGAGGAAGGUCCCCCACAUUGGAACUGAGACACGGUCCAAACUCCUACGGGAGGCAGCAGUGAGGAAUAUUGGUCAAUGGGCGGAAGCCUGAACCAGCCAAGUAGCGUGCAGGAUGACGGCCCUAUGGGUUGUAAACUGCUUUUAUACAGGAUUAAAGUCAGCCACGUGUGGUUAUUUGUAGGUACUGUAUGAAUAAGGACCGGCUAAUUCCGUGCCAGCCGCCGCAGUAA
rnacentral:rRNA from 1 species